rnacentral:rRNA from 1 species
CUACGGGGCGCUCCAGUGGGGAAUAUUGCACAAUGGGCGAAAGCCUGAUGCAGCAACGCCGCGUGAGGGACGACGGCCUUCGGGUUGUAAACCUCUUUUAGCAGGGAAGAAGCGAAAGUGACGGUACCUGCAGAAAAAGCACCGGCUAACUACGUGCCAGCAGCCGCGGUAAUACGUAGGGUGCAAGCGUUGUCCGGGAUUAUUGGGCGUAAAGAGCUCGUAGGCGGUUUGUCGCGUCUGCUGUGGAAAUCCGAGGCUCAACCUCGGACCUGCAGUGGGUACGGGCAAACUAGAGUGCGGUAGGGGAGAUUGGAAUUCCUGGUGUAGCGGUGGAAUGCGCAGAUAUCAGGAGGAACACCAAUGGCGAAGGCAGAUCUCUGGGCCGUAACUGACGCUGAGGAGCGAAAGCGUGGGGAGCGAACAGGAUUAGAUACCCCAGUAGUC